rnacentral:tRNA from 1 species
CAGUUAAUAGUCUAUGGUUAGGAUGGGGGUUUUGGGGAUUUCAGGUCUCAUAUUGAGUUAGCUGA